rnacentral:rRNA from 1 species
UACGUAGGGUGCAAGCGUUAAUCGGAAUUACUGGGCGUAAAGCGUGCGCAGGCGGCUCCUUAAGUCAGAUGUGAAAGCCCCCGGCUCAACCGGGGAGGGUCAUUGGAAACUGGGGAACUUGAGUACUGAAGAGGAAAGCGGAAUUCCACGUGUAGCGGUGAAAUGCGUAGAGAUGUGGAGGAACACCAGUGGCGAAGGCGGCUUUCUGGUCAGUAACUGACGCUGAGACGCGAAGGCGUGGGGAGCGAACGGG